AUCAGCCUUUUGGGCAUGAUUCUGUGGAGCGUGAGGAGUUAAACGCCUUCAUGCCUGCAUAUUCGUGUACUUUGGGUGUACUUGCCUGUGUGGUUAGUUAACAUCAAUUCUGGUUAUCAUAAAAUGGCUGGAGGAAUGUAGCUUCGAUCUCGUAUUGAAGUGUUAUAGCCUUCGGCAGAUGUGAUGAUCGGGAUUGAGGAUUGCAACGGAUACCCUUCGGGGCUACCUGUCUGGUCUCUGAUCGUUGCUCUGGUGCCGAAAGCGUGCUUACGGUUAUCAAAGUCGAUGGUCAACAGGUUAGAACGGGUUAAAUUCGUUAAGGAUGUUGACGUAAUGGCUUU
rnacentral:rRNA from 1 species